rnacentral:tRNA from 1 species
UCCCUAAUAGCUCAUAUAGUAAAGCAUCUGCCUACAAUGCAGGAGACCCAGGUUCAAUCCCUGGGUCGGGAA